AUUGAACGCUGGCGGCAGGCCUAACACAUGCAAGUCGAGCGAGCGGCGGGCGGGUGAGUAAUGCCUGGAAAUUGCCCUGUCGAGGGGGAAAAAAGUUGGACACGACUGCUAAUACCACAUACGCAGGGAUUCCCCAGGUGGGAUUGGCUAGUUGGUGGGGUAAUGGCUCACCAAGGCGACGAUCCCUAGCUGGUCUGAGAGGAUGAUCAGCCACACUGGAACUGAGACACGGUCCAGACUCCUACGGGAGGCAGCAGUGGGGAAUAUUGCACAAUGGGGGAAAUCCUGAUGCAGCCAUGCCGCGUGUGUGAAGAAGGCCUUCGGGUUGUAAAGCACUUUCAGCGAGGAGGCGUUACUCGCAGAAGAAGCACCGGCUAACUCCGUGCCAGCAGCCGCGGUAAUAC
rnacentral:rRNA from 1 species